UGAAGUAUAUCAACAAUAGCGCGCCU
rnacentral:sRNA from 1 species